rnacentral:rRNA from 1 species
AGAGAGGAAAAAGGCUACGACUUGUUACUGGGUUACGACUUCACCCUUGUUACCCGAACGAUUAAAGCCCUCUUCGGAGGGUGUAUAAAGUGGCGCACGGGUGAGUAACACGUAAGUAAUCUACCCUCGGGUGGGGAAUAACAACCGGAAACGGUUGCUAAUACCGCAUAAUGCAGCGGCUCCUUAUGGAGACAGUUGUUAAAGGAUUUAUUCGCCUGAGGAGGAGCUUGCGGCAAAUUAGCUAGUUGGUAAGGUAAUGGCUUACCAAGGCUACGAUCUGUAGCCGGUCUAAGAGGACGGUCGGUCACACUGACACUGAAUAACGGGUCAGACUCCUACGGGAGGCAGCAGUCGGGAAUUUUGGGCAAUGGGCGAAAGCCUGACCCAGCAACGCCGCGUGAAGGAUGAAGUAUUUCGGUAUGUAAACUUCGAAAGAAUAGGAAGAAUUAAUGACGGUACUAUUUAUAAGGUCCGGCUAACUACGUGCCAGCAGCCGCGGUAAUACGUAGGGACCAAGCGUUGUUCGGAUUUACUGGGCGUAAAGGGCGCGUAGGCGGCAUGACAAGUCACUUGUGAAAUCUCUGGGCUUAACUCAGAACGGCCAAGUGAUACUGUCGCGCUAGAGUGCAGAAAGGGCAAUCGGAAUUCUUGGUGUAGCGGUGGAAUGCGUAGAUAUCAAGAGGAACACCUGAGGCGAAGGCGGGUUGCUAGGCUGACACUGACGCUGAGGCGCGAAAGCCAGGGGAGCCA